GUCUCGUUCGUCUAGAGGCCUAGGACACCGCCCUUUCACGGCGGCAACACGGGUUCGAAUCCCGUACGAGACG
rnacentral:tRNA from 1 species